CCUACGGGUGGCAGCAGUGGGGAAUAUUGGACAAUGGGGGCAACCCUGAUCCAGCGACGCCGCGUGUGUGAAGAAGGCCUGCGGGUUGUAAAGCACUUUUAGUGGGGAUGAAAAGCCAAGGGUUAACACCCUUUGGUCUUGACCUAACCCAAAGAAAAAGCACCGGCUAACUCUGUGCCAGCAGCCGCGGUAAUACAGAGGGUGCAAGCGUUAAUCGGAAUUACUGGGCGUAAAGCGUGCGUAGUCGGUUAUUUAAGUCGGGUGUGAAAUCCCCGGGCUCAACCUGGGAAUUGCAUUCGAUACUGGAUAGCUAGAGUUCGGCAGAGGGAAGCGGAAUUUCCGGUGUAGCGGUGAAAUGCGUAGAUAUCGGAAGGAACAUCAGUGGCGAAAGCGGCUUCCUGGACCAGAACUGACGCUCAGGCACGAAAGCGUGGGGAGCAAACAGGAUUAGAUACCCUAGUAGUC
rnacentral:rRNA from 1 species